rnacentral:misc_RNA from 1 species
GAUGAAGAACGUAGCGAAACGCGAAAGGUAAUGCGAAUUGCAGAAUCAGUGAGUCAUCGAAUCUUUGAACGCACAUUGCGCCCCUUGGUAUUCCAUGGGGCAUGCUUGUUCGAGCGUCAUUUGUACCCUCAAGCUUUGCUUGGUGUUGGGUGUUUGUCCUUGCCUUUGCGUUUGGACUCGCCUUAAAUUCAUUGGCAGCCUAUAUAUUGGUUUGAAGCGCAGCACAUUUUGCGAUUCUUUCUAGUACUGUUAGCGUCCAUAAAGCACAAUUAACACUUUUGACCUCGGAUCAAGUAGGGAUACCCGCUGAACUUAAGCAUAUCAAUAAGCGGAGGA